rnacentral:rRNA from 1 species
GAUCCUGGCUCAGAAUCAACGCUGGCGGCGUGCCUGACACAUGCAAGUCGAACGAGAAAGCAGGGGCAACUCUGUGAGUAAAGUGGCGACCGGGUGAGUAACACGUAGCUAACCUACCCUCGAGUGGGGGAUAACCUGGGGAAACCUGGGCUAAUACCGCAUAACAUCCCGAUGUUGAUGACAAUGGGAGCAAAGGCCCGUAAGGGUCACUGGAGGAGGGGGCUGCGGCCGAUUAGCUAGUUGGUGAGGUAACGGCCCACCAAGGCGAUGAUCGGUAGCCGGCCUGAGAGGGCGCACGGCCACACUGGCACUGACACACGGGCCAGAC